UAUCUUUUGGUGCUGGUCUUGACAAAAUUUAAUUUGUUCCACUCUUAAAUUUGAUACACCAGUCUUCCAAAUUAUCCAUUAAAUCAUUUGUUAGCAGGGCGAAAUUAUAGAAGCUGAACCAGUUGUUCCAAAUUAUCCAGUUCAAAUGCUAUACAACACAACGAAGCUGUUCCAAUCUUAGAAGCUUCUGCAGAGUAUUUGUUUUUUGUACUACUUGGUUGACGAAAUGAUUUCCUUAUAAGCUGGGAUAAGGCGUUUGUAGUUGGUAUUUAUACACAAGCUCAAUAAUUUUCAGGCUCAUCUCAUCUCACGUUAUUUUUCGGUUUGUUGUAUGCUCACCGGCGUUCUGUUUCGAGAUAUUGAUUGGGUGUUGGGUAUGGGUGUUUGCAGGUGGGGCCUACUUUAUUCCCGGCUCUGAUGUCAGUGGACAUGCACCGUUCUUGUGUGGAUUUGAGCGUCGUGGCAUGUGGUGGCUCUUUGUCAGACGCAUCAACGGCUGGUGUUGUCACCAGGCUUCUUCUUGUGUCCAUACGAAAGCGAGGUUGUACUACCGUGAAAAUGCUCAAUCCCAUGGAGACUGCCAAGUUCCGCCUCAUCAUGAAACAGGCCAAGGCCCUCAAGAUCUGCAACAAUCAUCUCCUUCACACCAAGAAACGCCAGCCUGCAGCUACAUGGUUUGGUCAUGCCGUUAACUGCCUAUCUUGACGACAUUGACGCUGAAUUUAUCGACCUCCAAAGAAUGAGAUGUUAGAUGUCGCAGAACUCGUCGGUGAUGUUAUUGAGCAUUCACGGAAACCAAAUGUCAUAGUUUCUACCAAUGUGCGUGAACUAUUGGAAUGCCCUAUGUGUUUGGUUCACAUGUAUCCUCCAAUUCAUCAGCUAUGCCUUCUUGUUGAACUAAUCACAUUUAACAAUAGCAUCUCGGUUGCACCAUACUAGCC